UACGGGGGGGGCAAGCGUUGUUCGGAAUUACUGGGCGUAAAGGGCUCGUAGGCGGUUUGUCGCGUCGGGAGUGAAAUCAUCUGGCUUAACUGGGUGCUUGCUUUCGAUACGGGCAGACUAGAGGUAUGCAGGGGAGAACGGAAUUCCUGGUGUAGCGGUGAAAUGCGCAGAUAUCAGGAGGAACACCGGUGGCGAAGGCGGUUCUCUGGGCAUGAUCUGACGCUGAGGAGCGAAAGUGUGGGGAGCGAACAGG
rnacentral:rRNA from 1 species